rnacentral:rRNA from 1 species
UACAGAGGGUGCAAGCGUUGCUCGGAAUUAUUGGGCGUAAAGGGUAGGUAGGUGGUCUGGUUUGUCUGAGGUGAAAGCCUUGAGCUUAACUUGAGAAGGGCCUCGGAAACGGCCGGACUGGAGGCUUCGAGAGGGUCGUGGAAUUCCCGGUGUAGCGGUGAAAUGCGUAGAGAUCGGGAGGAACACCAGAGGCGAAAGCGGCGACCUGGAGAAGUACUGACACUCAACUACGAAAGCGUGGGGAGCAAACAGG